AUACGUAGGUGGCAAGCGUUGUCCGGAUUUACUGGGCGUAAAGGGUGCGUAGGUGGAUAUUUAAGUGAGAUGUGAAAUCCCCGGGCUCAACCCGGGAACUGCAUUCCAAACUGGAUUUCUAGAGUGCAGGAGAGGAAAGCGGAAUUCCUAGUGUAGCGGUGAAAUGCGUAGAUAUUAGGAAGAACACCAGUGGCGAAGGCGGCUUUCUGGACUGUAACUGACACUGAGGCACGAAAGCGUGGGGAGC
rnacentral:rRNA from 1 species